UUCACACUAUCCCUUUUCUCUCUUUUGGCCGGUCAACAAGGGUCCUCUACUCUUGUUUUCUUUUUCAUCUUCUCACAAAUACAAACACUCAUCUCACACUCCCUCGCACUCUCCCACCGGUAUCUCCAUGCCACCAUCUCCACCAUCUUUUUUCCAGCAAUGUCACCGGAAAAUCCUUAUGAACCUCUAAGCAUCUUCAUCUUUUAUUUGAGGUUUGCUUGAUAUUGUUGAGGUUCUAGCAAAUCUCCUUCGGAGCUUGGAGAAUUAGGCUUUUUACGGGUUGCAAGUGAUCACCCGAUUUGGUUUUCGUAGUCUUUGUAACAACGGAAUCAAAUCUAGGUCAGUGCCCUUUCACUUUAGAUGACGCGUUCUUCCCUACUACCCAUGGGGGGAAGAGGUUCCUUAAUUGUAUAUGGGUGAGGCUGCUGCCCAUGGGGCCAAGAGACCACAUGCAAAAGAGGUCUUAUUUGACGCGCUCUCCCUGCUACCCAUGGGAGGAGAGAAAAACCUUAAGGGUAUGAGUGAGACUACUGUCCAUGGGGCCAAGAGUCUGCAUACCAGAGAGGACAAUAUCAUGCCAGUUGUGAAUGGGUGGAUCCCCUGACUAGUAUAUGUAGUAAUGCGGUAUACUUGUAAUAAUUUACUUUAUGUUAAAUAUUAUAGAUUUGGAAAUUAUAUUGUUGGUGCUCACAGAUUAUAGUAUAUAAUUUCAAGGUAUUUACUUUGAGAAACUUUGUGUUUCAUUAUUUAAUCAUUCUUGUCAUAUUAUUAUUAUUGAAGAUGAAACUUGCAUUUGCCCCCCCCCCCCAAUUUAAUUAUGCUACUUACUGGGCAUUAGCUCAUCCUACCCUCUAACAGUUUUUCA